AUCGAACGCUGGCGGCAGGCCUAAUACAUGCAAGUCGAACGAGUGGCGGACGGGUGAGUAAUGUCUGGGAAACUGCCUGAUGGAGGGGGAUAACUACUGGAAACGGUAGCAAAUACGGCAUACCUUAAGAUGUUCCCAGAUGGGAUUAGCUCGUUGGUGGGUUAACGGCUCACCAAGGCGACGAUCCAUAGCUGGUCUGAGAGGAUGACCGGCCACACUGGGACUGAGACACGGUCCAGACUCCUACGUGAGGCAGCAGUGGGGAAUAUUGCACAAUGGGCGCAAGCCUGAUGCAGCAAUGCCGCGUGUGUGAAGAAGGCCUUCGGGUUGUAAAGUACUUUCAGCGGGGAGGCGUUACCCGAAGAAGAAGCACCGGCUAACUCCGUGCCAGCAGCCGCGGUAAUAC
rnacentral:rRNA from 1 species